UAAAUUUUUUGCAUAACAGAUAUCUAUUAAAUAAAUUAGUUAAUAAUUGUUUUUGACCGUUUACACAGAUUGGCCAACAAUUGAGAGAGAUUGGAACUGAUAUCGUUGCUUACUGAAAAGAUAAGUCGUCUCCUAUGGUGUUUUAGCUGUUUAACUUUCAUCUUGGAGGCUCUUGUAGUUAAUUAAGGAACAUUAGAAGGACUCCAUAUACCAGUAAAUUAUGAAAUUUUGGAGCACUGGUUGUAUUAGUCCUCAUUUGCCCCAGAAAGUAGCUGUUCCCAUGGUUCUAAAGAAAGCAUGAAAGUGCCUUUUUUCCAUUGGGAACGAAGCUGUUAAAUUUUCAUCCUGGAUGCUCUUGUAGUUAAUUGAGGGAUGUUAGAAGAAUUUCCAGAUGCCAUUAAAUUGUGGAGCAUUGAUUGUGUCGGUUCUCAUUGACUCCACAAAGUGACUGUUCCUAUGGUCAUAAAGAAAGGAUGAAAGUGCCUUUCCAUUGGGAACGGAGACAAUGUGCUUAAGAAGUGUGUUGCUGAAGGAGGGAUUUAUGACAAUAAACUGAUUGUCCCACAAAUGAGAAGGAAUUGCAGUUAAUUUUGGUGCUACUAAAACAACUGAUGCUCUUGACGUCUUCACCUUGCAACAUUAUGCAGUUAAUUUUUGCCGUAACAAUGGGAGGCAAUUGGAAAUAAAUUAAUUUGGA